GUUGAACGCUGGCGGAAUGCUUUACACAUGCAAGUCGAACGGCAGCACGGACUUCGGUCUGGUGGCGAGUGGCGAACGGGUGAGUAACAUAUCGGAACGUAUCCAAUAAUGGGGGAUAACGAGUCGAAAGAUUCGCUAAUACCGCAUACGCCCUACGGGGGAAAGCUGGGGACCUUCGGGCCUGGCGUUAAUGGAGCGGCCGAUAUCUGAUUAGCUAGUUGGUGAGGUAAAGGCUCACCAAGGCGACGAUCAGUAGCUGGUCUGAGAGGACGACCAGCCACACUGGAACUGAGGAACGGUCCAGACUCCUACGGGAGGCAGCAGUGGGGAAUUUUGGACAAUGGGCGCAAGCCUGAUUCAGCCAUUCCGCGUGAGUGAAGAAGGCCUUCGGGUUGUAAAGCUCUUUCGCAAGGGAAGAAAACUUAGCCACUAACAUUGGUUGAGGUUGACGGUACCUUGAUAAGAAGCACCGGCUAACUACGUGCCAGCAGCCGCCGUAA
rnacentral:rRNA from 1 species